AUCAAGUUGACGAGUUCCAAAUGGGACGAAACGCGCAUCCUGGAU
rnacentral:hammerhead_ribozyme from 1 species